rnacentral:rRNA from 1 species
GACAUACUAUGUUAAAUACACCCUGUUAAGGGCUUGAACCAUAUAGAAUCUGCCCCACUGUCUUCGGUUGGGGCGACCAUGGGGAACACAAAACCCCCACGCGGAAGGGGAGCACACCCCAAAACUUCUUUCCCUCCCACAAACCAGGGCGACAGCCCUAAUCAGCAGAAAUUCUGACCUAAGUGAUCCGGUAAUACCGAUCAACGAACCAAGUUACCCUAGGGAUAACAGCGCAAUCCCCUUCUAGAGCCCGUAUCGACAAGGGGGUUUACGACCUCGAUGUUGGAUCAGGACAUCCUAAUGGUGCAGCCGCUAUUAAGGGUUCGUUUGUUCAACGAUUAAAGUCCUACGUGAUCUGA